AGAGUUUGAUCAUGGCUCAGAACGAACGCUGGCGGCAGGCUUAACACAUGCAAGUCGAGCGCCCCUCCUUCUGGUUAGCUUUGGGAGCCUGGUUUUGGCUGGGCUUUUUUGAGGCUGACUUGAUGGAGGGGAGCGGCGGACGGGUGAGUAACGCGUGGGGAUGUACCCAGAGGUUCGGAAUAACCCAGGGAAACUUGGGCUAAUACCGGAUGAGCCCUGAGGGGGAAAGAUUUAUCGCCUUUGGAUCAACCCGCGUCGGAUUAGCUAGUUGGUGGGGUAACGGCCCACCAAGGCGACGAUCCGUAGCUGGUCUGAGAGGAUGAUCAGCCACACUGGGACUGAGACACGGCCCAGACUCCUACGGGAGGCAGCAGUGGGGAAUAUUGGACAAUGGGCGCAAGCCUGAUCCAGCCAUGCCGCGUGAGUGAUGACGGCCUUAGGGUUGUAAAGCUCUUUCGCACGCGACGAUAAUGACGGUAGCGUGAGAAGAAGCCCCGGCUAACUUCGUGCCAGCAGCCGCGGUA
rnacentral:rRNA from 1 species